GACGAAUGCUGGCUGCGUGCUUAACACAUGCAAGUCGAACGGUGAAGGGGAGCUUGCUCCCCGGAUCAGUGGCGAACGGGUGAGUAACACGUGGGCAACCUGCCCCUCACUCUGGGAUAACUCCGGGAAACCGGGGCUAAUACCGGAUACGACCGGGAGCGACAUCGCUCCUGGUGGAAAGAACUUCGGUGAGGGAUGGGCCCGCGGCCUAUCAGCUAGUUGGUGGGGGAACGGCCCACCAAGGCGACGACGGGUAGCCGGCCUGAGAGGGCGACGGGCCACACUGGGGGGGAGACACGGCCCAGACUCCUGCGGGAGGCAGCAGUGGGGAAUAUUGCGCAAGGGGCGAAAGCCUGACGCAGCGACGCAGCGUGAGGGACGAAGGCCUUCGGGUUGUAAACCUCUUUCAGCGGGGACGAAGCGAAAGUGACGGUACCCGCAGAAGAAGCACCGGCUAACUACGUGCCAGCCGCCGCCGUAA
rnacentral:rRNA from 1 species